UGCUCCAUCAGUUCAACUUUGCCCCUCAACUUUUGAUGCUCCAAAGCAGCUGUGGGAGACAUCCCUGCAAUGAAAAAGACUAAGCGGCAAAAACAUGAAAUUUGAAAUAAACUUGUACAUCGAAGGGACACAAUUAACAACAGGAGAAGAACUGUGAGAUGGAUGCAACGCCGGGGAAUACUGAAAAGAUCAAUGCGGUGUUGCAUAUGCACACGUCGUAUGCGACUGACAGAAAGCCCACGCAGUGAUGGUUUUACCUGGGUUUGCGGAACAAACCACAAAGCAAAGAAAACAUCAGUACGUUAUGGAUCUGUGAUGUACAAAUCUCGCAAAUCUCUGGCGAGAUGGCUGAUGUUCAUUUACAGAUUUCCCAAGGUCUGCAGCUAAGACAACUUGACAUGCUUGAAGAUGGGAUUGCUGGCAGUUCAAGAACGCUGACCAAAAUGGCACAUACAGUAAGGAAGGUGUGCAUGAAAGCUGUUUCCUGUCUUAAAAGCAAAGGCAUGAAGGUUGGUGGUCGACAUCACUUUGUUGUUCUUGAUGAAAGCAAAUUCUCUCACAAAAGGAAGGUAAUGCAUUAUUUUACUAGAUGUGUGAUUAAGGUAAUAGAGUUUUUUUCACAUCAAGUGCUGUUUGAUGAGUGCUCUGUGAUCUGAAAAAAAAGGAUUCACGAUUAAAAUCAGGGUUCGUAUGGGUCCUGGAAAACUUAGGAAGGUAAUAUAAAUAAAUACUAAAUACGCCAAAAUGCAGUACUGAAUUCUUUUGAAAAAUAUUAAAAUUGAAAAAUGUGCUUUAGCUUGGGUUAUGAAAAAUAUUACCAUUUUUCUGUAAUCAUGUGUCAAGUUUCUGUAAUCAUUUUUAUUUUAUGAAAUACAUUCAUGCGUGUUUGUACGUGUUGGUUAGUAUGAUGUUAAACAUUACCAUUCUCUAGCAGGAUGGUAACCCAACGCUGUAAACAAUAACCUUACCUUAUGGUGUGGCCUAAGGGCCUUUAUACACCAAAUGCGAAUAUCAGACAGUGAAAAUGCGCUCCGUUUGAACUAUUGCCAGCGAAAGUAACUCUCUAACCAGUCACAGUCAUCUCUGCUGUUGGCAUGAGAACACAUCAGAUGAUGAAUUAUUUUUCAGCAACUGGAACAUUUUAACAAGUGGCAAAAGGAUCAGAAACUCCAAAAGCAGCUCAAACUGGGCUACGAACAUCUUAUAUGUGGAUGCAUCAUAUGUAUUAUGGCAAGAAUGCAGCACAUUUUAUUUAAGUGCAUCACUUGUCACAUUUUAAUCAUGUAAAUUUAAAGUGCCAUUUUUUCAGUGAAUGAUAUAAUUUACAUUUGUAUAAGAUCCUAUGAAAUAUACUCCCAGAAUCCCCAUAAAUAUUUACAACAUUAUUUCAGAUUAUUCAGCAAUAACACAAAAUAUGGUAUAUUUAAUGAAGAAAGGUUUAAAAUUAAUAUAAACUUUAAAGACUUUGGGCAUAAAUAAAAUGCAAGAUACCGUGACUAGCCACUUCAUUAGGUACACCAACCUUGUAUGGGUACUCGU